rnacentral:rRNA from 1 species
AUUGAACGCUGGCGGCAGGCCUAACACAUGCAAGUCGAGCGGUAGCACAAGGGAGCUUGCUCCCCGGGUGACGAGCGGCGGACGGGUGAGUAAUGUCUGGGAAACUGCCUGAUGGGGGGGGAUAACUACUGGAAACGGUAGCUAAUACCGCAUAACGUCGCAAGACCAAAGUGGGGGACCUUCGGGCCUCACGCCAUCGGAUGUGCCCAGAUGGGAUUAGCUAGUAGGUGGGGUAACGGCUCACCUAGGCGACGAUCCCUAGCUGGUCUGAGAGGAUGACCAGCCACACUGGAACUGAGACACGGUCCAGACUCCUACGGGAGGCAGCAGUGGGGAAUAUUGCACAAUGGGCGCAAGCCUGAUGCAGCCAUACCGCGUGUGUGAAGAAGGCCUUCGGGUUGUAAAGCACUUUCAGCGAGGAGGAAGGCGUUAAGGUUAAUAACCUUGACGAUUGACGUUACUCGCAGAAGUAGCACCGGCUAACUCCGUGCCAGCCGCCGCGGUAAUAC